UGGUGGAGCGAUUUGUCUGGUUAAUUCCGAUAACGAACGAGACUCUAGCCUGCUAAAUAGUCGGAUCGUAUCCUUUAGCGAUCUACUGACUUCUUAGAGGGACAAGCGGCAACUAGUUGCACGAGAUUGAGCAAUAACA
rnacentral:rRNA from 1 species